rnacentral:rRNA from 1 species
AGGGGCAGCGGGAUUGAAGCUUGCUUCAAUUGCCGGCGACCGGCGCACGGGUGAGUAACGCGUAUCCAACCUUCCGUACACUCAGGGAUAGCCUUUCGAAAGAAAGAUUAAUACCUGAUGGUAUGAUGAGAUUGCAUGAUAGCAUCAUUAAAGAUUUAUCGGUGUACGAUGGGGAUGCGUUCCAUUAGGUAGUAGGCGGGGUAACGGCCCACCUAGCCAACGAUGGAUAGGGGUUCUGAGAGGAAGGUCCCCCACAUUGGAACUGAGACACGGUCCAAACUCCUACGGGAGGCAGCAGUGAGGAAUAUUGGUCAAUGGACGAGAGUCUGAACCAGCCAAGUAGCGUGAAGGAUGAAGGUCCUACGGAUUGUAAACUUCUUUUAUAAGGGAAUAAACCCUCCCACGUGUGGGAGCUUGCAUGUACCUUAUGAAUAAGCAUCGGCUAACUCCGUGCCAGCAGCCGCGGUAAUACGGAGGAUGCGAGCGUUAUCCGGAUUUAUUGGGUUUAAAGGGAGCGCAGACGGGUCGUUAAGUCAGCUGUGAAAGUUUGGGGCUCAACCUUAAAAUUGCAGUUGAUACUGGCGUCCUUGAGUGCGGUUGAGGUGUGCGGAAUUCGUGGUGUAGCGGUGAAAUGCUUAGAUAUCACGAAGAACUCCGAUUGCGAAGGCAGCACACUAAUCCGUAACUGACGUUCAUGCUCGAAAGUGUGGGUAUCAAACAGGAUUAGAUACCCUGGUAGUCCACACGGUAAACGAUGGAUACUCGCUGCUGGCGAUAUACUGUCAGCGGCUUAGCGAAAGCGUUAAGUAU